rnacentral:misc_RNA from 1 species
AACAAAUAUAGCAAAGCUUCAUUUAUAAACUAUUAAAAACUUGAUGUUUAAAAUGAAAAUGUUGCUAACUGCUACGAUUUUUUCAUUCAUAGGCAUUUCUACUGGAAAUUUAACCACGCAAGAAAUAUGUAUGCAUCCUUCUAAACUGUUAAGAUAUUGGAGAUGUAUGUUGAGAAGUUUGCCAGAAUAUUCUAAAGUGCUGAUUGUAUUAUGCUUAUUAAAACAAUAUCAAACAUAAAUGAUGCUCUUGUAUAUUUUACUUGCAUGGAUGAAUCGGAACUGACAGAGAUUAAAAAUUGUGUAAACAGGAGGCAUUCGGCUAAGAUUUUCAUUACUUCCACUUCAAGUGAUGAAAAGAAAACUAGAAAGGUGGCCCAUAAAUGUUUCCUGAGAUGUUUUUCUGAUGAAAUUGAAUUAAAAUUUAAUAAAAAUUUAUAAAAUAAAUUUUAUAUACGUGAAAAAAGAAAAUUAAAGAAGAGUUAUUACUAUUA